ACGCAUCACCAUUAAUGUGAUAUUUUUAUAAUCUUUUUAAAAAAUAGAAACUUUAUUUUAAUAUUUUAAUAAUUUUUUUAAAUGCAUUAAAGGAUUAAAAAACCCAUUUUCUUUUUUCUUUAUUGCCCUUUAUAGUUUCUUUCCUUCUAUUUUAUUUUCUUUUGUUCUUCUUUCUUUUUCUUCAACACAAAAACCCUAGCCACCUUCCUUCAAGCCACGCUGUUGUAGCAGUCCCUGAUCCGUUCACACUGUCGGUGUCCUUAAUCUGUUCUGGCGUCUUCCUUCUCUCUCUCCCCUUAUGUUUCUUUUUUUUUUUUUCGAAACCUCAGCAUCGCCAUAAACACAGUUGAGAGCCAUCAUCUCCGGCGUUUAAACUCUGAUCGGCUCUAUCGUCGGAUGGCAGCGGGUUUCCAAUAUGUUAUCUACCGCAUCAUGGACUUGAGCUUCAACAUCCGAAUCGUCAAGAAAGUGACGAGAUCUCCAUGAAUCAGACCUUGAUCGAAAAAAGGUCUUCAAAACAGGGUCUUUCCUUUUUUAAAAAAAAAAUUGUUUGAUUGGUUAUUGACUAUUGACGUUUAUUGUUGUUCAUUGGCUUUGGAUGGAGUUCGUUAAGGAUUUGAAAGUGUAUGAUUUUUGGACUAAGCUAUUUCCGGCGCGGUGGCCUGAACGGUGGCAAUCGUAUUUGAGAGAAGAGAAGGAAAAAAAAAUUCUUUUUAGAAAAUAAAUUAUUUUUCCGAAAUCUUAUUACUAAUAAAAUCGAAACAAUCUCUGUUUACUUAAAUAAAAUUAGAUUUUGUGGAAUCAUAUUAAAUAUUUGAGGUUA